CCUACGGGUGGCAGCAGUGAGGAAUAUUGGUCAAUGGGCGGAAGCCUGAACCAGCCAAGCCGCGUGAGGGAUGAAGGUACAGAGUAUCGUAAACCUCUUUUGUCAGGGAACAAAGGCGGGGACGCGUCCCCGGAUGAGUGUACCUGAAGAAAAAGCAUCGGCUAACUCCGUGCCAGCAGCCGCGGUAAUACGGAGGAUGCGAGCGUUAUCCGGAUUUAUUGGGUUUAAAGGGUGCGCAGGCGGUCUGUUAAGUCAGCGGUCAAAGCCCGGGGCUCAACCCCGGCCCGCCGUUGAAACUGGCAGUCUCGAGUUGGAGAGAAGUAUGCGGAAUGCGCGGUGUAGCGGUGAAAUGCAUAGAUAUCGCGCAGAACUCCGAUUGCGAAGGCAGCAUGCCGGCUCCACACUGACGCUGAGGCACGAAAGCGUGGGUAUCGAACAGGAUUAGAUACCCGGGUAGUC
rnacentral:rRNA from 1 species